GGGCUCACUUUUGGCAGCACAUAUCCUAAUAUUGGAACGAUACAGAAAAGAUUAGCAUGGCCCUGAAUGAUGACAUACAAAUUCAUAAAGUGUUCCAUAUUUUU
rnacentral:snRNA from 1 species